UCAGGACGAACGCUGGCGGCGUGCUUCAUACAUGCAAGUCGAACGAGAAUCUGGCUUCGGUCAGAGGAAAGUGGCGGACGGGUGAGUAAUGUGUAGAGAAUCUGCCCUUUAGUGGGGGACAACAGUUGGAAACGACUGCUAAUACCCCAUAUGCGCGUAGCUGAGAUGCUAUUCGUGAAAACUCCGGUGCUAAAGGAUGAGUCUGCAUCUGAUUAGCUAGUUGGCGGUGUAAUGGACCACCAAGGCGACGAUCAGUAGCUGGUUUGAGAGGAUGAUCAGCCACAAUGGGACUGAGACACGGCCCAUACUCCUACGGGAGGCAGCAGUAGGGAAUUUUGCGCAAUGGGGGAAACCCUGACGCCAGCAACGCCGCGUGAUUGAAUAAGCCCUUCGGGGUGUAAAGAUCUGUCAGUAGGGACGAAACUUGACGGUACCUACAGAGGAAGCAUCGGCUAACUCCGUGCCAGCCGCAGC
rnacentral:rRNA from 1 species